rnacentral:rRNA from 1 species
GUCCAUGGCCAUGCCACCCUGAACAAGCCCGAUCCUGUCUGAUCUUGAAAGCUAAGCAGGUUGGGCCUGGUUAGUACUUGGAUGGGAGACCACCUGGGAAGACCAGGUGCUGUAGGUG